rnacentral:rRNA from 1 species
UACGGAGGGUGCAAGCGUUAUCCGGAUUCACUGGGUUUAAAGGGUGCGUAGGAGGGUAGGUAAGUCAGUGGUGAAAUCUCCGGGCUCAACUCGGAAACUGCCGUUGAUACUAUCUGUCUUGAAUACCGUGGAGGUGAGCGGAAUAUGUCAUGUAGCGGUGAAAUGCUUAGAUAUGACAUAGAACACCGAUUGCGAAGGCAGCUCACUACACGAAUAUUGACUCUGAGGCACGAAAGCGUGGGGAUCAAACAGGAUUAGAUACCGAGUAGUCC